rnacentral:rRNA from 1 species
GACGUAGGGUGCAAGCGUUAUCCGGAUUUAUUGGGCGUAAAGCGUCCGUAGGCGGAUUACUAAGUCUUCUUUUAAAUAUCAAGGCUCAACUUUGAGAAUGGGGAAGAGACUGGUAGUCUAGAGGUUGGAAGGGGGUGCUGGAACUUGCAGUGUAGGGGUGAAAUCCGUUGAUAUUGCAAGGAACGCUUAGGGCGAAGGCAAGCACCUGGUACACACCUGACGCUCAGGGACGAAAGCUAGGGGAGCAAAGCGGAUUAGAUACCCGCGUA